CAGGCUUAACACAUGCAAGUCGAGGGGCAUCAGUUUGGUUUGCUUGCAACCAAAGCUGGCGACCGGCGCACGGGUGAGUAACACGUAUCCAACCUGCCUCAUACUCGGGGAUAGCCUUUCGAAAGAAAGAUUAAUAUCCGAUAGCAUAUAUUUCCCGCAUGGGUUUUAUAUUAAAGAAAUUCGGUAUGAGAUGGGGAUGCGUUCCAUUAGUUUGUUGGGGGGGUAACGGCCCACCAAGACUACGAUGGAUAGGGGUUCUGAGAGGAAGGUCCCCCACAUUGGAACUGAGACACGGUCCAAACUCCUACGGGAGGCAGCAGUGAGGAAUAUUGGUCAAUGGACGCGAGUCUGAACCAGCCAAGUAGCGUGAAGGAUGACUGCCCUAUGGGUUGUAAACUUCUUUUAUAUGGGAAUAAAGUUGUCCACGUGUGGAUUUUUGUAUGUACCAUAUGAAUAAGGAUCGGCUAACUCCGUGCCAGCAGCCGCGGUAAUACGGAGGAUCCGAGCGUUAUCCGGAUUUAUUGGGUUUAAAGGGAGCGUAGGCGGAUUGUUAAGUCAGUUGUGAAAGUUUGCGGCUCAACCGUAAAAUUGCAGUUGAUACUGGCAGUCUUGAGUGCAGUAGAGGUGGGCGGAAUUCGUGGUGUAGCGGUGAAAUGCUUAGAUAUCACGAAGACUCCGAUUGCGAAGGCAGCUCACUGG
rnacentral:rRNA from 1 species